rnacentral:rRNA from 1 species
GUAGGUGGGCAAGCGUUGUCCGGAAUUAUUGGGCGUAAAGCGCGCGCAGGGCGGUUCUUUAAGUCUGAUGUGAAAGCCCACGGCUCAACCGUGGAGGGUCAUUGGAAACUGGGGGACUUGAGUACAGAAGAGGAAAGCGGAAUUCCAAGUGUAGCGGUGAAAUGCGUAGAGAUUUGGAGGAACACCAGUGGCGAAGGCGGCUUUCUGGUCUGUAACUGACGCUGAGGCGCGAAAGCGUGGGGAGCAAACAGGAUUAGAUACCCUGGUAGUCCACGCCGUAAACGAUGAGUGCUAAGUGUUAGGGGGUUUCCGCCCCUUAGUGCUGCAGCUAACGCAUUAAGCACUCCGCCUGGGGAGUACGGCCGCAAGGCUG